rnacentral:rRNA from 1 species
UACAGAGGUCUCAAGCGUUGUUCGGAUUCAUUGGGCGUAAAGGGUGUGUAGGUGGCGCCGUAAGUCGGGGUGUGAAAUUUCGGAGCUUAACUCCGAAACUGCAUUCGAUACUGCGGUGCUUGAGGACUGGAGAGGAGACUGGAAUUCAUGGUGUAGCAGUGAAAUGCGUAGAGAUCAUGAGGAAGACCAGUGGCGAAAGGCGGGGUCUCUGGACAGUUCCUGACACUGAGACACGAAGGCCAGGGGAGCAAACGGGG